AUUGGUGAGUGCGCGUGGGAAUCUACCCAUCUCUACUGAAUAACUCAGGGAAACUUGUGCUAAUACCGUAUACGCCCUUCGGGGGAAAGAUUUAUCGGAGAUGGAUGAGCCCGCGUUGGAUUAGGUAGUUGGUGGGGUAAUGGCCUACCACGGCGACGAUCCAUAGCUGGUCUGAGAGGAUGAUCAGCCACACUGGGACUGAAACACGGCCCACACUCCUACGGGAGGCAACAGUGGGGAAUAUUGGACAAUGGGCGCAAGCCUGAUCCAACCAUGCCGCGUGAGUGAUGAAGGCCCAAGGGUUGUUUAGCUCUUUCAACGGUGAAGAUAAUGACGGUAACCGUAGAAGAAGCCCCGGCUAACUUCGUGCCAGCAGCCGCGGUAAUACGAAGGGGGCUAGCGUUGUUCGGAUUUACUGGGCGUAAAGCGCACGUAGGCGGAUAUUUAAGUUAGGGGUGAAAUCCCAGAGCUCAACUCUGGAACUGCCUCUAAUACUGGGUAUCUAGAGUUCGAGAGAGGUGAGUGGAAUUCCGAGUGUAGAGGUGAAAUUCGUAGA
rnacentral:rRNA from 1 species